UUCAUACACUAUCUCAAAAUAAAAUCAUGUUUUAAAAAUAAAAUCACCCCCACAACCAUAAAAAUUCAAAUGUCACAACAUAACCACCCAAAAUUUUUCUAUAAAUAGGGAAUACCAUGAAAAAUGAUGUAUCUAUCAACACACCAAAAAAAACUUGUAAAAAACCUAAGUUAUUGUAGAAGAAGAAGAAUCUGGAGAAAGUCAUGGACAAAUUCAAAGAAGGAAUUGUCAAAAUGUCCUACAGUGAACCAAAUUCUCUAUUAUUAGAGGCCAAAAAUUUGAUUCAUCAACAUCUUGAUCGGUUUAUGUCUGGUCUUCGGGGUAGAUCAGACUACCCCGAUCAUCAUCCUUAUGGUUUAUUAAUUCAUAUUUUCACUUAAGUUUGUGAUUUUUUAGAAUUAACUUAUUUUGUAGAAUGUUUUAAUUAAUCCCAUUUAUCUUUUUUUUUUCCUUCGAAUUUUUGAAAAAAUUAGGAUUGAUUAUUGGAUACAAAUGAAUUCUUUCGUUAUAGAUUUCAAUUUGAGGAGGGGUUAACUCUUAUGAAUUUUUUUGAUUAAUUAUGUAAAUCAAAUCUUUAUAGUGUACUCGAAUUUAUUGUUUUGUUAUAGAUGAUUGAAAAGGUGUUGUACGAAUCAGACAAAGAAGGGGGUUCGAAUGAAGAUUUGAUAUCUGAGUUUUUUUAUCAUGUAAAAUAAUUACAGUUUUCCAAGGUCUCAUACAACAAUGUAGAAACAUCAUCUAAAUAAGAUGUGUGAAUGGGGCGGGGGGAAUGUUAUUAUUGAUGGAGACGGUUUUGGCUUCUUGGUGACGGCGAAAACUCAAAUACAAAGAGAAAAGGAAAGAGCAAGAGAAGGGGAGUUUUUCAAAUGUACAAAAGAAGCAGCAACAAAAGGAAAAGGAGGUGGAUCCUCGACAUGUGGUGCAUUUGGAGCAACUAAAAAAACAUGGUCAUGUGAGGCCUUCUAACAACAAGGAAGAAGGGGCCAAAAAUGGUGAUGAUAGAACUUCAACAUUGGUUCAUUUGUUGCCAAAGAUGAAAUUCUACCAUCAUCUGUUUUUGCCCAAACCUCCUUGUACUUAGCAAGCCUCCCACGACCUUGUUUGAUUACUUGCACCAAAUGCACUGUGUGUUGAGGAUCCUUUCCCUUUUGUUGUGGCUUCUAUUGUGUUAUUGAUGAAUUCCCCCUUCUUUUGCUCUUUCCUUUUCUCUUUAGAUUCAAGUUUUCACUAUAAGAAAAAAUCGUCCUCCAUCAAUCAUAAGUACUUCCCCCUUCUCAUACAUCUACUGUGAAUGAUGUUUUAGCAGAGGGUCAUAUGAGCUCUUUGCAGACUAUCAUACUCCUUCUUGAAAAACUAGAUAUCGAGUCUUCAUCGGAACCCAAUUUGUGCCUUUUCAAUCAUUUAUAACAAAAGAAAGGAUUGGAUUAGACUAUAGCCUCACAAUACCUGGUUUUUGACUAUACCUUCUAUAUCGACAUUAAAUCAGGGAUCUCUCCCAAAUCAGGGUCUCCCAUUAUAGCUAACGGUCAUUAUCUUAAAAAGUAGAUAAUUAGGAAUAUAUUAAUUGUGUAAAUAUAUUGUAAAUACUACAGUUUUAUUAUUCAAUAAAUAGAUCACAAUUCAAUUAUCUCUAUUUGUUUUGGAUCUCUAUCGUUAUCCAACUUGGUAUCAAGAGCCUUGUUUUUUCCCUAUAUCCUCACUAUUCUAUUUUUUUCUCUCCAGUAAAGUUGUUUCGUUCAUCUUUGGUUUGGAUUCUUAAUCCAUAUCCAUCAUUCCUAUCAUCUCUGAAUCUAUUCCUUGAUAGAUCCCUUUUGACUUCUCUUUAGCUCUUUGAAUUAGGAUAGAUUCACGAGAUACCUUGUCAACAAAAUUUGAUGGGCAUGACUAUCCGAUUUGGAAGUUCCAUUACAAUGCCUUCAUUAGAAGCAAACGCCUCCUUGAUAUUCUGGAUGGCUCAAAUGUUGUACCCACGAAGACAAAGAAAAAUAGGCCUAGGAGGCUGACAAUAACAGAAUUAUCACAUGGCUUUUCUAUUCCGUCUCGGUUGAUGUAGACAUGAAACUGACAACUUUUGAGAAAGCAUCAGAAAUGUGGAGUCAUGUUUAUACCCUUGGUAACCAACCAAAUCUGGCUUGAUAAUUUGAAUUGGAAACACUACUUGCAUAAUUUAUACAAGGUGAUAAAAGUGUUCGGCAUUUCUAUUCUGUAUUACUCACAUUAUGGGCUAUACAAGAUCAACUUUUUGCUGCCUUUAUCCUUGAGGUUGGAUUUAAGGAUUUCAUGAAUACGAUGAAGAGGACAAGGGAAGUUCAAUUUUUAAUGAAGCUCAGGCCCGAGGUCGAGCAUUUACAUUCUAGUAUUCUUAAUUGCAAAAAACUACCAACUUUGGAGGUGGUAGUUUCUAAAGGUCUUCGAGAAGAAACUCUGUUGAGUUCUCAAGCUUCUAUGGAGAACUACCUUACCGUGGACACUCCCUUGGUUGCAUACACAAUUUCUUCUUCCUCGGGAAACUCUAACAAGCCUGUUAAAUGCUAUCAUUGCCAGGAAAUAGUACAUGUUAUUUCCCACUGCAAGAUCAUAUUUCUUGUUAAGUCUCAACACCAACAUAGGAUCCACUGCCAUAUUCUCUUAUCAUCUCAUCGAUAGAUAUUGUGGUAGCUUCAAACUUUCAAAAAUCAUAUCGUUUGUUUUAAGACUUCAGUAUCAGCUUCUUCUAUUUGAUCUCUGCUUUCUUCAUUUGCUUUCAGAAUUUUCUCCGAGUCAUUAAUUGACCUUCAUAUUGCGGAUGAUUGACCAUAUACCGCCACUUCUAAUACAUCUCCCCCAAUGCUUUCCUUGUAAACGUCACCACUAGCAAAUGUAGUUUUAGAUAUUGUCUAUUAAAGAUCUUCUUCUUUGAUUUCUUCAAUAAUAUGUUCAUAUCGACAACAUCAGUUGCUUGCUUCUCCACAUGAUCGACUAUAUUAUAUUCAAUAUCCUUGAUCCAUUCUCUUUCAAUAUUGAUGGAAAUCAUGGCAACUAUUGCCCGAGCCUCAGCUACUAAACAAUUUUCCCUCUCUUCUUCUACUUCAACAACUUUUUGAGCCAUAUUGCUCUUUUGCUUGACGAUAUGUUUUUGUGUGUCUUACUUUACCACAACAAUAGCAUCUAAGAAGCUUCUAACAAUAAUUGUUAGAAGACUCUUCCUUCUCUCCAGGUGAGCGUAAACCACCUGAGGAUCGAGAGUCUGGCACAUCUCUUGUUUUUCCUUUAAAGUUUCUGUUGUUGGCUAUAAGAGCAUUUCCUUCUCCUUCUUUGAAAAAUACACUAGCCAAUUUCUUGGCUAGUAGUUGUUUUGACGACAACAAAUUUUCAAACUCCUCAAAGAAUUGUUUUUGAGACCAUUUUUGAAUUGACGUCAUAAAUGAAAUAUAUUCAGGUUUGAAACUAAAAAAAAUAAUUCUUCUCAUUCGUGCUUCAGAGAUAGCCUCUUCCGUAUUCAACAAAGAUAUCUCAGAACAUAUGUUUAUGAUAUUCAAAAAGUACUCGGAGAUAGAAAGGUUACCUUGAGUGGUAUUAGCCAAUUCAUUCUCCAAUAUCUGCAACCUAGAUUCAUUCUUCUUGUUGAACAAGCUAUCGAGGGUCCUCCAUAUUUCAUAAGUUGGUUUACACUUUAUAAUGUGAUCAGAUAAACCGGAAGAGAUUGUCCUUUUCAGAAUGAACUCCGCCUUUGCAUUAACCUGCUUCCACUUCUUGUACUAUUUUCCAGUCCGUCAGCAGGACUUGAGUCAUUACCAUUAACAACAUAUCACGAAUCCUCUCCUGCAAGGUAUGAUUCUAUAAAUGUCUUUCAUACCUUGUAAGUGAACUGAUUUAAUAACUCCAUCCUCAGUCCAUUAACAUGACCCCUAAAAUUCAUAUAGACAAACUAGUUGAAUCCACCACUAACCCGAUCUUGAAAUAACACACUAACAAAUCCAUGGAUAUGGCUAUGAUACCAUGUAGAGAAUAGAAGAAGAAAAGUAUAAUCAUGGAGACCUUCUCCUAGCCCAAGAUCGUUAAAAAUGAUUGAAAGAUUCAACUAAGAAAGAGGAAGAUAGAAAGGAGAACUUGUUUAUGGAAGAAGACUAUUUUAUUUGAGUUGUUCUUGGUUUUUUGGGUUCCAUACAAAUGUCUAAUGCCACCACUAUUUAUGCUUGUAAACGGAUACUUCUAGAAAUUAUUCUAGUUAUUUCUACAAGAAAAAUACAGAUAUCUUAUCUUCUAAUCUUGUAAUAAGAACCUAGAUAUUUGUAUACUUUAUUAUAAAUAUCUAAUUAUCUAGAACCUCUAGAUUUUUCUUUAGUAUAAAUAUCAAAUUAAAGAUAUUUACUCUGCAAACUUCUAGGAAGUUCUACUAAAUAUCAAAGAUAUUUUUUUGUACCUUCAAAUAAUCAUCUUUAACUUUUCACUAAUCUUUUAUCUGUUGGGCAACUUGUAGCACAAAAUUUUUUGGUUAUUUUUUCUCCUAAUUAUUGUGUUAUUCAAAACAUAUUGACCGGGGAAACGAUGGCCAGGGGACGUAAGUUUGGCAGGUUGUUUCUUCUUCAAUCUUAGGAUACAAAACUUCAUCAGUGUUUUCUUCUAGCUUCAAAUAAACAUAUUCAUUUUCAAAUAAAAUGUGUAAUUUGUGGCAUCUCCGUUUAGGCUAUCCACACGCUUCUCAGUUAUAUUUUAUGCUUAAAUCUUGUAAUUUAUUGGGAAAAGAUUCACUGAUUUUUCCCUCUAAAUUACCUUGUGAAAGUUGUGCAAAAUCAAUGAGUUUUCCUUUUCAACUAAGAAAUACUAAUUAUUUUAAUCCUUUUGAUUUAAUUCAUAGCGAUAUUUGGGGACCUUCUCCAAUUAUAUAUAUCUCGUUUGGGAUACAAGUAUUUAUUUCUAUUCAUUGAUCAAGUAUCUCGUGAUACAUCGAUUUUCUUCUUGAAACACAAGUCUGAGGUACCAAAUGUUGUCAAGAAAAUUUAUGACCUUAUAGAAACCAAAUUUGGGGAAAAGAUCAAGAUUUUUCAUUCUGAUUCAGAAGGGGAAUAUGUCAAUAAAAACCUCACUAAUUUUUUUAACAAAAAGGCAUAAUUUACCAGCGUUCUUGUCCGUAUGCACCGGAACAAAAUGGUGUGCUGGAACGUAAGAAUAGACAUGUUGUUGAAACUGCCUUAUCCCUUCUUGAUACUUCAAAUGUUCCAAAAUUAUUUUGGGUUGAAUAAAUCCAAGAAUCUAUUUAUCUCAUAAAUAGACAAUCAUUCUCGAUCAUGAAACAAAUUAUCCUUAUUUUAUUCUUUUCAAAAAAUUGCCUAACUAUUCACAUCUUAGAGUAUUUGGUUGUGUGUGCUUUAUUCUUCUUCCGGAUCAUGAACGUCAUAAAUUAUCUUUAUAAGCCGUUAAAUGUGUUUUAUUAGGAUGCAAUGAUAUCCAAAAUGGUAUUUGUGUUAUGAUUCAACACGUCGUUCAUUACGAAUCUCACGACAUGUUAUCUUCUUUGAUAAUUCUUUUAUUUAUAGUAACAAAGACUCACAAUUCUCUACUAUGUCUUUCCUGAAUAACUUUCUUCUCAUGAUGCUACUUGCCAUAGCCACCUUGUCAUUGGUCCUUCAUUGACUAUGUACUCUACCACAUCAGGUACUACUUAUGACUUUGAUCCUUUUUUUAUAAUGAUACUACUUUGGCUAAUAGUAACUCUUUAGCUCACUUAUAUAAUGCCUUAUUAAAUCUUAACAACCAACCUUCCCCCACUCGUCAAAAUAGCAUUGACCCCAUUAGAUGAUCAUUUCGGCAUGCUUUACCCUCCAGAACGAUAUGGAUGCUCAACAAGUGAAUAUGCUUGAUCUUAUGCCUUACUAACAACCUUGAAUUCUAUUGUUGUACAAAACUCUUACAUGUAGGCUAGUGGUAUGAAAUGAUGAGAGGAUGCAAUGCAUGAAGAAUUAGUUGCCCUUGAGGAGAAUGAUACAUGGGAUUUGGUGGAUAGACCAACAAAUGCAACAAUUAUUGGAAGUAGAUUGGUGUACUCAGUCAAGAUGAAAGAUGAUGGAUACCUAGAUCGAUACAAAGCAAAAUUAGUAGCUCAAGGAUACAAACAAGAAUAUGGAAUCGACUAUGAUGAAAUAUUAGAUCCAGUAGCUUUUAUGACAACCUUACGUAUAUUGCUUGCCUUAACAUCAAUAAAAGGUUGUAAGUUACAUCAACUGGACGUCAAGAACGCUUUCCUGCAUGGAAACCUGCAAGAAGUGCUCUACAUGAAUCCACCACCAAGUUAUAAAUAUAUUAAACAAAAUCAGGUUUGUCAUCUUAAGAAAUCUCUCUAUGGAUCAAAGCAAGCUCCUCGCUCUCGGUUUGAAAAGUUUUGCUCCACAAUCUUGCUGGUUUUACUCAAAGUAGAUCAAAUUAUUCAUUAUUCUUAUGUCGGAGUACCUCAGGUUGAUUAGAUACAUGAUAUUUACUACUUAUUCCCAUUAUCUUUAUCACUGGAGAUGGUGGGAUACGCUGACGCAAAUUGGGCAGGAUUCCCGUAUUCAAGACGAUCAACUACAGGUUGGUGCAUGAUACUUGGCUUGUGCAUGAUUUCUUGGAAGUGCAAGAAACAAUCUUGAACAUCAAAGUCAUCCGUAGAGGCAUAAUAUUAAAGUAUGUUUGCUGCAUGCUCUGAAAUCAUUUGGCUGCGAAGAUUGCUAUCAAAACUUGGCAUCAAAAUUAAAGGAUCAACCACAUUGUAUGGAGACAACACUAGUGCAAUCAGAAUAGCAACAAACCUCGUCCAUCAUGAAAACGCCAAGCACAUAGAUAUAGACUUUGACGACAUUAGAGAACUGAUUGAAGAUUGGAGUAUUAGCCUGAAGCAUUUAUACUCUAAAGAUCAACGGUCUGACUUAUUUACAAAGGUUGUGUCAAGGAGUAAAAACAAUUAUGUACUGUCCAAACUCAUAUUUUGUGAUACACAACAUUAGUUCGAUGGAGGGUGUUUACUAUACCUUUAUUGACCCUAAAUUAGGGAUCUUCCCCAAUCAAGGCUCUCCCAGCUAACAUUCAUUAUCUUAAAACCAGUAGAUGAUUAGGACUCUAUUACUUGUAUAAAUAUCUUCUAAAUUCUACAUUUUUAUUUUUCAAAAAAUAGAUCAUAAUUCUAUUAUACUAAUUGUUUUGGA